AUUGAACGCUGGCGGCAGGCCUAACACAUGCAAGUCGAACGAGUGGCGGACGGGUGAGUAAUGUCUGGGAAACUGCCCGAUGGAGGGGGAUAACUACUGGAAACGGUAGCUAAUACCGCAUACCAUCGGAUGUGCCCAGAUGGGAGUAGCUAGUAGGUGGGGUAACGGCUCACCUAGGCGACGAUCCCUAGCUGGCCUGAGAGGAUGACCGGCCACACUGGAACUGAGACACGGCCCAGACUCCUACGGGAGGCAGCAGUAGGGAAUCUUCCGCAAUGGACGAAAGUCUGACCCAGCCAUGCCGCGUGUAUGAAGAAGGCCUUCGGAUCGUAAAAUUCUUUUAUCGGGGAAGCGUUAUUUGACCAGGAAGCCCCGGCUAACUCCGUGCCAGCAGCCGCGGUAAUUC
rnacentral:rRNA from 1 species